UACGGGGGGGGCAAGCGUUGUUCGGAAUUACUGGGCGUAAAGGGCUCGUAGGCGGCCAACUAAGUCAGACGUGAAAUCCCUCGGCUUAACCGGGGAACUGCAUCUGAUACUGGGUGGCUUGAGUUCGGGAGAGGGAUGCGGAAUUCCAGGUGUAGCGGUGAAAUGCGUAGAUAUCUGGAGGAACACCGGUGGCGAAGGCGGCAUCCUGGACCGACACUGACGCUGAGGAGCGAAAGCCAGGGGAGCAAACGGG
rnacentral:rRNA from 1 species